GAGGCGACACAUAGGCGUCGCUGCGCAGAGUGACUUUGCAGUCUAGCGAGUGGUACUGAGCAUGCGCAGUGAUCAGCCUUUCCUGGAUACCGUUUUUUUAAGUGGAAGCGCGAAACAUUUAUAGCUAAUAAAAAGAAAUUAGAAACUUCAAAAUUUGUUUAAAUUUGCGGUCUGCUUAAGUUACAAAGUACCCGUGGCAAUUGUGUUUCAUACAGAGAACAAUUGUGUGUGAUGUUACAGGGUAAGCACUGAGAUUCCUUACCAAUUCACUUAUGUUUCAACUAAACAUGAAGGGAUCACGAGGGGAUAAAACAUCAUUUGACAGCGCUGUGCAAAUUAAUAACUGACAGUGUAGUAAAGGCGCAUGAUGUUACAGAAGUCUUUGCCCUCAGCUCCAUUGCCAGUCGGUUACGAACUGCACCUAAGAGGAAAGAAAGGCUGGAUGCAGUGUAAUUUAUU